GGGCUCACACAAGCGGUGGAGGAUGUGGCUUAAUUCGAGGCUACGCGAAGAACCUUAUCCUGGUCUUGACAUGAUUCGUUCAGACGGUGAAAGUCGUUGUUCCGCAAGGAAGAGAAUCACAGGUGCUGCAUGGCUGUCGUCAGCUCGUGUCGUGAGAUGUCGGGUUAAGUCCCUUAACGAGCGAAACCCUUGUCGUUAGUUGCCAGCAUUGAGUUGGGUACUCUAACGAGACUGCCGGUGUUAAACCGGAGGAAGGUGGGGAUGACGUCAAGUCCUCAUGGCCUUUAUGAUCAGGGCUGCACACGUCCUACAAUGCAACAUACAGAGCGUCGCGACCCUGCGAGGGGAAGCCAAUCGCCAAAAGUGUUGCCCAGUUCGGAUUGCAGGCUGCAACUCGCCCUGCAUGAAGCCGGAAUCGCUAGUAAUCGCGGGUCAGCAUACCG
rnacentral:rRNA from 1 species